rnacentral:rRNA from 1 species
AAUAGUACCCGGGUAGUCCACGCCGUAAACGAUGAGUGCUAAGUGUUAGAGGGUUUCCGCCCUUUAGUGCUGCAGCUAACGCAUUAAGCACUCCGCCUGGGGAGUACGGCCGCAAGGCUGAAACUCAAAGGAAUUGACGGGGGCCCGCACAAGCGGUGGAGCAUGUGGUUUAAUUCGAAGCAACGCGAAGAACCUUACCAGGUCUUGACAUCCUCUGCCAACCCUAGAGAUAGGGCGUUCCCCUUCGGGGGACAGAGUGACAGGUGGUGCAUGGUUGUCGUCAGCUCGUGUCGUGAGAUGUUGGGUUAAGUCCCGCAACGAGCGCAACCCUUGAUCUUAGUUGCCAGCAUUCAGUUGGGCACUCUAAGGUGACUGCCGGUGACAAACCGGAGGAAGGUGGGGAUGACGUCAAAUCAUCAUGCCCCUUAUGACCUGGGCUACACACGUGCUACAAUGGAUGGUACAAAGAGCUGCGAACCCGCGAGGGUAAGCCAAUCUCAUAAAGCCAUUCUCAGUUCGGA